rnacentral:rRNA from 1 species
AGGGAAUAUUGCGCAAUGGACGAAAGUCUGACGCAGCAACGCCGCGUGUGGGAGGAAGCUUCUUGGAGUGUAAACCACUGUCGGGAGGGACGAAUGAUUAUGGUUCUAAUAUAGCUAUAGUUUGACGGUACCUUCAAAGGAAGCUCCGGCUAACUCCGUGCCAGCAGCCGCGGUAAUACGGGGGGAGCAGGCGUUGUUCGGAAUCACUGGGCGUAAAGGGUGCGCAGGCGGGAGAUUAAGUCGGAUGUGAAAUCCUCGGGCUCAACCCGAGGCCUGCAUUUGAAACUGAUCUUCUUGAGUAUCGGAGAGGAAAGCGGAACUCCAGGUGUAGCGGUGAAAUGCGUAGAUAUCUGGAGGAACACCUGUGGCGAAGGCGGCUUUCUGGCCGAAUACUGACGCUCAUGCACGAAGGCUAGGGGAGCAAAC